rnacentral:misc_RNA from 1 species
ACUGGUUUUGUCUUGAUAUCAUUAUCAGUAGCCAUUGAGAUUACCCCUGAGAAGGUCAGGUUCUUUUGCUCCUGCUGCAUAGCCUUCUCCUUCUCGAGUUGACCAUAUGCAUACUUGAAAAUUUGGCUGUGAGUAUGCAACUGUUUACCUUUUGGCAUUUGCUUUUUUACAUUUUUAUCUCCAAUCUCCAAAUUAAAGCCUUCAUUGCUAUGUGGAUCAUCCUCAAGGGCUUGCAUCAUUUUUGUUAGGCUACUUGAUUCCUUUUUCUUUGUUUUUACAGCUGCAGAUGAUUGGUUAGAUGCACUUGAAGGCAUAGGCGGUAAUAAAUUAUCCUCUGACCUCGGUUUAGCUUGACGAGAAAAUGUUCGGGAGAACUGUUCUUGCAAUCCAAAUCCACGUUUCUUGGCACCAUCUUUUGCAGAUUUCCACCUUUCACGUGCUUGUGCAGUUUCUCUCGCGUGCCUUGCUGCAGCUUCUCUGGAUUUUGCUGCUUUUCUUUCUCGUGUAGACAGAGCUUGGUCUGAGCAGUUAACAAUAAUGAGAAGCAGAGUAGUCAAUGAAGCCUACACAAGAAUACGAAGAAUGUUAAAUACCAAUGAAUUCAAUUAACAAAGUGAAUAAUCCAUGAUUAUUCAGCAGCGUGAUUGUAUGCGGCUUAGCCUAUGUCCCAUAUGGGCGAUGUUGGAUAUCUUACUCUUAGGUCAAACUGAGCUGCCAAAGCAAUUUUGUGAAGCCGCAAAUGCAAGUUUGGGUGGUCUUAUCAGGGUUAGUGCAAAUGCAGUCGGGUGUGUUCCCUAAUCCCUAUACCUCCCAUGUAGACACAAAAUCCCUGUAUCUAGUCUUAUCAGGAUUAAGCAGAAAUGCAGUCAGGCGUGUUCCCUAAUCCCUAUAUCUCCCAUGUGGACGCACAAUCCCUGAAUCACUAGGUAAUGACAUAGAUAACAAUUUCUUUUAAAGGAAAUUUCAGUUAAAUCUUAAAAAUGUAUUCCUCUUUUCA